UUAUUUAUAAUUGUCACGGGUUUUAUUUUGUGUUUCGUUCGACGACACAGAUAAAUUGUAUUUAGUGUGCGAAAUAAGUUUUCAGGUUUACAGUGAUAACUGAUAAAAUAAACUUUUAGUCAUUUUAAAAGAAAUACAAUGGAAUGAAUAAAGCCGUCAAACAAUAUUCAUAUUACAAUUUCUCAGUGGUAAAAUUCAUUUUUAUCCUUUUUGGAUUAUCUAUGAACAAAACAGGGGACCUCGUUUGUAUGCAGUGAGUGUUGAUAGACAUUCAUCUAGUUUCUUAUUUUAUUUCAGGAAUCUCAAAUAAUGCCGUAGAAAUGGUGUAAUAUUUCUCAAUACUUAAAAGGGGCUUAAAGAUUAAAGUUAGUUCGAUCUCAGGAAUCCAAUGAGGAUCGAAAAACGAGACUUGCUAUGUUUAGAAAAUAAUAAGCUUUAAGUCAUACUUUGGAAACCCUUACCGAAAGAGAAGCUCGACAAAAUAGAGAUUGAGAUUGCCAUGUUAUUUCACGCUCCGUGGAAACGGCCACGAGCCAGAAAUAUCCGAUUGAUCGCUGAUCGUGAGCGGCAAACGCGGGUGUUUAUACCAAGAAUCCCUCUCAUCCUAAACAAUUUUCCAUUUCAUUUCAAACGAGUUCUAUUCCCACUAAGUCUUUGUUAUGCAAUGACUAUCAACAAAGCACAGGGGCAGACUACGCGUUUCAGGGGAGGACCUUGGUGUAAGUUGCUUCUCACACGGUCAACUAUAUGUUGCUCUCUCACGAGUGAGUGAAGCAAAUGUAUAAAAUAUUUGUAUACAUCCCAACAAACCAAUUGUCCAACGUUGUAUAUAAAGAGGCAUUGUAAAUACUUAUUAAACAACUGUUUUUUGUAUAUAUAUAUAGGAAAAUUUGUAAGUGUAAUUUUUUAUAUUAGUUUAUAUUAAACAUUGAUUUUAUUUAACCUUAGUAAUACAGAAUUUAAAAAAAUAAA